rnacentral:rRNA from 1 species
GACGAACGCUGGCGGCGUGCUUAACACAUGCAAGUCGAACGGAAAGGCCCUGCUUUUGUGGGGUGCUCGAGUGGCGAACGGGUGAGUAACACGUGAGUAACCUGCCCUUGACUUUGGGAUAACUUCAGGAAACUGGGGCUAAUACCGGAUAGGAGUUCCUGCUGCAUGGUGGGGGUUGGAAAGUUUCGGCGGUUGGGGAUGGACUCGCGGCUUAUCGGCUUGUUGGUGGGGUAGUGGCUUACCAAGGCUUUGACGGGUAGCCGGCCUGAGAGGGUGACCGGCCACAUUGGGACUGAGAUACGGCCCAGACUCCUACGGGAGGCAGCAGUGGGGAAUAUUGCACAAUGGGCGGAAGCCUGAUGCAGCAACGCCGCGUGCGGGAUGACGGCCUUCGGGUUGUAAACCGCUUUCGCCUGUGACGAAGCGUGAGUGACGGUAAUGGGUAAAGAAGCACCGGCUAACUACGUG